UGCUGUCGAAAAGAAAAGACGGGCAGAGAGGUGGAAUAUUUUAUUUUGUCGUUGAUCCGAUCGCAUACGAACAUCCGGUGGCAGAUAUAAGCCUUAUACUAAUUAAAUCGGCUACGUGUUGUUAUUUUUGUGUUCCACGAGGUAUUUCCCGGGAUCAGUAGUUUUACGUUACCUAUACUUUAUAUCGAUGACCGAGCUAUUUCAUUUCGUCCU